AUUGAACGCUGGCGGCAUGCCUUACACAUGCAAGUCGAACGGCAGCACGGGUGCUUGCACCUGGUGGCGAGUGGCGAACGGGUGAGUAAUACAUCGGAACGUACCUUAUCGUGGGGGAUAACGCAGCGAAAGCUGUGCUCCUACCGCAUACGCCCUGAGGGGGAAAGCGGGGGAUCGCCAGAACUCGCGCGCUUAGAGCGGCCGAUGCCUGAUUAGGUUGGUGGUGGGGUAACAGCCCACCAAGGCGACGAUCAGUAGCUGGUCUGAGAGGACGAUCAGCCACACUGGGACUGAGACACGGCCCAGACUCCUACGGGAGGCAGCAGUGGGGAAUGUUGGACAAUGGGGGCAACCCUGAUCCAGCAAUGCCGCGUGAGUGAAGAAGGCCUUCGGGUUGUAAAGCUCUUUUGUCAGGGAAGAAACACCGGCUCUAACACAGUCUGGGAAUGACGGUACCUGAAGAAUAAGCACCGGCUAACUACAUGCCAGCCGCCGCGGUAA
rnacentral:rRNA from 1 species